rnacentral:misc_RNA from 1 species
UAUUAAUGAUGAUACUACUUUUAGAGAUAAUUUGAAAAGAGAGAGAAAAAUGCUGUUGCAAAAUUAUACUUCUUUAGGUGAAGAUGAGAAAGAUUUGGAUUCCAAGAGUUUGAAUUUGAAUCCUGAGAUCCUACAGUUUGUAGCAGAGCAUGGUUUUGAAAGACAUGCCGGUGGUAAUGGCUCUUAUGGAGAUGGUUUGGAGAAGUUACCUGUAUCAUAUGAAGAAUUUUAUUCCACUGGAAGUAGUUCCCAACGGCUGUUCACUCCUGAGGAGGCAUCAGAAAUGAGGAUCAAAGGUAGUUUAGAUAUAGAAAUGGACAGUGAUUAUCAGAAAAUAAUGUUAUCAUGUGAUCGGAAUGCCCUUGAUGAGAUCCCUGAUUCAAUUUGUGGAGAUGGGGAUUGCAGUUAUGAAGAUAUUGAACAAUUGCCAAUGCUGGAGAACUCAAGAUGGGGAGAGUAUCGAGGCAGCAACACUGGAAGGAUGAUUGAUGGAGUGGCCAUUUAUGCAAAUGUCAAUCUUGGAAAUACCUUAUCAUCUAAAUAUGCAGUACCAUCAAAGCAAAGACUUUCAAGCAAGUUUGUUAAGCCUUCUAAAAGUGACAUAAAGAAGCGGUUGGGGCCAGCUCGAAGAAGUGUAAAGCAACGUUUAGGGCCUGCUCCAAAUGCAGGAAAGAGAUUGGGACUUUCUCUAAAAGUUAAGAAGAAACGUCCUUGGGUUAACAUACAAGAAGAAAUAACUCCGGAAAAUUUUGAACAAAACCUUAAUGUUCAAAAAGUGAAAUCCUUGGAACUGGAAAAGAGAUAUGACAGGACUGAGCCACCUGAGGACUCUGAGGAAUUCAUGCUGCGGGUGCAAAGUGCUUUCUUGAAGUUUGUCAAAGUUUUGAAUGAGAAUUCAGCAAAUAGGAGGAAAUACUUGGAGGAAGGAAGAGCUGGUACUAUGAAGUGCAGCAUUUGUGGCAGCUCCAAGGAAUUUGUGGACACAUUAAGCUUGGCACAGCAUACAUUCAUGUCUAAUAAAGUUGGGUCCAGGUCUGAGCAUUUGGGUUUUCAUAAAGCACUUUGUGUGCUGAUGGGAUGGAAUAACAUAAGAGGUCCAAAUGGUAAAUGGAUUCCACAUUUAUUGCCUGACACUGAAGCCUUAUCAUUGAAGGAGGACCUCAUUAUCUGGCCUCCAGUUGUUCUCAUCCAUAACAGUUCCAUAUCAAAUUAUAAUCUAAAUGAACGUAUGAUUGUAAGCAUUGAAGGGCUCAAGGAUAUUCUUAGAGGUAUGUAAACUUUAAACCUGAUGACUGAUCCUAUGAAACCUUAUCAUUGUCAAAGUGCUCUCCUUUGCUGGUGUAUGGCAACAUAAUUUUCAUCUUCUCCCAUAAUCCAACUGGAAAAAUGUUUAUUUAUCAAGAUUUUUUUACUUCUGAUUUUCCUCCCAAGUUUGCAAUAUUUCUUGUUUUUCCAUAUCAUCAGCCGUGUUCUGCAGAUCUUGUUUUUCCUAAUUGUAAUGAUCUAUAAUGCUUUCCCUAUUCUUACUUCCUUUGUUGAGGAAGCUGUGAAGAUGGGGGGAGAGAGAGAAGGGGGAGAAAAUAACAGAAGAUUCUUCUUUUCUCUUGUCUGAGAAGGCAGUGAAAGUGGAGAGAAGAGAAAAUAACAGGAGAAACUUGUACCUGGUCCGCCAAACACUUUCACCCCACUUUCUAUCCAAUUUGGCUGAAAGUGGGGAGAAAAUGUUUAUUACUCUUUUAUCCCUAUAUUUAAUGGUUUCAUAGGAAAAAGUGAAGGAUAUUAUGGUAAUUUGAAAUAAUAAAAGUUUUUAGUCUCAUUUCUCUCCCCUCUUUUUCCCAUUCACCUCCCAAACAAGAGGGAAUAAAAUCAUUUUCUCCCUCUCCAUUUUCUCUUCCUCAACUUUCUCCCCCGUCCUUUUCUUUUUCUCUUACCUUUUCCCCAAACAAAAGGUCAAUCUGAUUGAUUUCAUGUUUUCACAAAGAAGGUUUUUUUUUUUUUCCCCUCUCUCUCUCUC